rnacentral:rRNA from 1 species
GGCGAACGGGUGAGUAACGGGUGGAAAACCUGCCCUUCAAUGGGGGAUAACAGUUCUAACGAGCUGCUAAUACCGCAUACGACCUUUGGACCGCAUGGUCUGAAAAUGAAAGGUGGCCUCUCUUUGAAGCUGCCGUUGAAGGAUGGUUCCGCCUCCCAUUAGCUAGUUGGUGGGGUAAAGGCCUACCAAGGCGACGAUGGGUAGCCGGCCUGAGAGGGUGUCCGGCCACACUGGGACUGAGAUACGGCCCAGACUCCUACGGGAGGCAGCAGUCGAGAAGCUUCCGCAAUGGGCGAAAGCCUGACGGAGCGACGCCGCGUGAGUGAAGAAGGCCCUUUGGGUUGUAAAACUCUGUCAGAUUGGGAAGAAAAUCCUAUGGUUAAUACCCAUGGGACUUGACGGUACCAUCAGAGGAAGCACCGGCUAACUCCGUGCCAGCAGCCGCGGUAAUACGGAGGGUGCAAGCGUUGUUCGGAUUCACUGGGUAUAAAGGGUGCGCAGGCGGCCUGAUAAGUCAGAGGUGAAAUAUGUCGGCUCAACCGGCAAACGGCCCCUGAAACUGUCAGGCUUGAGUCCGGGAGAGGAAGGUGGAAUUCCAGGUGUAGCGGUGAAAUGCGUAAAUAUCUGGAGGAACACCGGUGGCGAAGGCGGCCUUCUGGCCCGGAACUGACGCUCAGGCACGAAAGCAAGGGGAGCGAACGGGAUUAGAUACCCCGGUAGUCCUUGCCGUAAACGAUGGAUACUA